AAAUUUGAUUAUCAUAACGAAACGACGCAACGACGAGGAGGAAAAAGACUCCGCUAUGGAGGAAUUUUCCGAAAGACUUUAUUAUGUUCCGAUAAACGUAC